rnacentral:lncRNA from 1 species
UCUCUUUCCUUUCUCCUUGUUUUCUCCAGUUGAAGUCAAGGCCUUCCGUACUCGUGCUCGUCGGAAAUUGGAGCCGACGACGCUGCUGAAGCUCGAUGUAAGCCCUUCUCCUCCUUCCUCUCUUUCUUCCCCUCCUUUCCAUGGUUUCGUGCACCCUCGCCGGCCUUCGAGAUCACCAGAAAAUCCAUGAAAAUAGAACCCCUAUUUUUGCUCUGUUUCGAUCGGAC